GUGGGGAAUUUUGGACAAUGGGCGCAAGCCUGAUCCAGCAAUGCCGCGUGCAGGAAGAAGGCCUUCGGGUUGUAAACUGCUUUUGUACGGAACGAAACGGUCCUGGCUAAUAUCCGGGGCUAAUGACGGUACCGUAAGAAUAAGCACCGGCUAACUACGUGCCAGCAGCCGCGGUAAUACGUAGGGUGCGAGCGUUAAUCGGAAUUACUGGGCGUAAAGCGUGCGCAGGCGAUGCUGUAAGACAGGCGUGAAAUCCCCGGGCUCAACCUGGGAAUUGCGCUUGUGACUGCAGUGCUGGAGUGCGGCAGAGGGGGAUGGAAUUCCGCGUGUAGCAGUGAAAUGCGUAGAUAUGCGGAGGAACACCGAUGGCGAAGGCAAUCCCCUGGGCCUGCACUGACGCUCAUGCACGAAAGCGUGGGGAGCAAACAGGAUUAGAAACCCGAGUAGUCC
rnacentral:rRNA from 1 species